rnacentral:rRNA from 1 species
AGAAGCAGCCAUACAUUUAAAGAGUGCGUAAUAGCUCACUGGUCGAGUGACUCUGCGCCGAAGAUUACCGGGGCUAAAUUUGGUACCGAAGCUGUGGUCUAGCACUCAACAAGAUGAGUGCUAGAGGUAGAGGAGCGUUCUGUACGGGCGGAAGCCAUACUGUAAGGAGUGGUGGACUGUACAGAAGUGAGAAUGCUGGCAUGAGUAGCGAGAAGGUAAGUGAGAAUCUUACCCGUCGAAAGCCUAAGGUUUCCUGAGGAAGGCUCGUCCACUCAGGGUUAGUCGGGACCUAAGCCGAGGUUGAAGAAACGUAGGCGAUGGACAACAGGUUGAGAUUCCUGUACUAUCGAAGAGCGUUAGAGAGAAGGGGUGACGCAGGAGGAUAGGUUGAGCGCACGGUUGGUAGAGUGCGUCUAAGCACGUAGGGAGCCGGGAUAGGCAAAUCCGUUCCGGCAAUUCUGAAAUGCGAUGGGGAGCGAAAAAUAAGUAGCGAAGCAACCGACUCCAUACUGCCAAGAAAAGCCUCUAUCGAGCUUGGAGAUACCCGUACCGCAAACCGACACAGGUAGGCGAGGAGAGAAUCCUAAGACGCGCGGAAGAACCUUUGUUAAGGAACUAGGCAAAAUGGCCUCGUAACUUCGGGAGAAGGGGCGCCGGGAGAGAUCUCGGCCGCAGUGAAUAGGCCCAAGCGACUGUUUACCAAAAACACAAGUCUCUGCUAAGUCGAAAGACGAAGUAUAGGGGCUGACACCUGCCCGGUGCUGGAAGGUUAAGGGGAAGGGUUAGCGAAAGCGAAGCUCUGAACUUAAGCCCCAGUAAACGGCGGCCGUAACUAUAACGGUCCUAAGGUAGCGAAAUUCCUUGUCGGGUAAGUUCCGACCCGCACGAAAGGUGUAACGACUUGGGCACUGUCUCAACAAAGGAUCCGGUGAAAUUGUAGUACUCGUGAAGAUGCGAGUUACCCGCGAUAGGACGGAAAGACCCCGUGGAGCUUUACUGCAGGCUGACAUUGGAUUUUGGUAUUGCAUGUACAGGAUAGGUGGGAGACAGAGAAGCAUGGGCGCCAGCCUAUGUGGAGUCGGCCUUGGGAUACCACUCUUGCAAUGCUGAAGUUCUAACCAGAGCCUUUGAAGCAAGGCAUGGGACACUGUCAGUUGGGCAGUUUGACUGGGGCGGUCGCCUCCUAAAAGGUAACGGAGGCGUUCAAAGGUUCCCUCAGCACGGUCGGAAAUCGUGCGGAGAGUGCAAAGGCAGAAGGGAGCUUGACUGCGACACAGACAGGUGGAGCAGGAACGAAAGUUGGACUUAGUGAUCCGGUGGUUCCGAGUGGAAGGGCCAUCGCUCAACGGAUAAAAGCUACCCCGGGGAUAACAGGCUUAUCUCCCCCAAGAGUCCACAUCGACGGGGAGGUUUGGCACCUCGAUGUCGGCUCGUCUCAUCCUGGGGCUGGAGUAGGUCCCAAGGGUUGGGCUGUUCGCCCAUUAAAGAGGCACGCGAGCUGGGUUCAGAACGUCGUGAGACAGUUCGGUCCCUAUCCAUCGUGGGCGCAGGAAAUUUGAGAGGAGCUGUCCUUAGUACGAGAGGACCGGGAUGGACAGACCGCUGGUGAAUCAGUUGUCAUGCCAAUGGCACAGCUGAGUAGCUAUGUCUGGAAGGGAUAAGUGCUGAAGGCAUCUAAGCACGAAGCCCCCCUCAAGAUGAGAUUUCCCACCACGUUAAGUGGGUAAGACUCCAGGGAGACUACCUGGUAGAUAGGCCCUAGGUGU